CCAUGUUGAUCCUGCCAGUAGCAUAUGCCUGUCUCAAAGAUUAAGCCAUGCAUGUCUAAGUACACAGGGCUGGUACAGUGAAACUGCGAAUGGCUCCUUAAAUCAAUUAUCAUUCCUUUGGUCACUCGCUCCUCUCCUACUUGGAUAACUGUGGAAAAUCUAGAGCUAAUACAUGCCGACGGGUGCCAACCCCCUUCGCAGGGGGGAUGUGUGCAUUUAUCAGAUCAAAACCAACAUGGUGAGCUUCUUCCCAGCCACGGCCGUGGGGCUGCACAGGCGGCUUUGGUGACUCUAGAUAAUCUCAUGCUGAUUGCAUGCCCUCUGUGGCAGCAAUGACCCAUUUGAACGUCUGCCCUAUCAACUUUCAAUGGUAGUUGCUGUGCCUACCUUGGUGACCACAGAUGAUGCAGAAUCAGGGUUCAAUUCUGGAGAGGGAGCCUGAGAAAUGGCUACCACAUCCAAAGAAGGCAGCAGCUGCACAAAUUACCCACUCAUGACUCAGGGAGGUAGUGAUGAAAAAUAACAAUACAGGACUCUUUCGAGGCCCUGCAAUUAGAAUGAGUCCACUUUAAAUCCUUUAAUGAUGAUCCAUUGGUGGGCAAGCCUGGUGCCAGCAGCCAUGGUAAUUCAAGCUGUAAUAGUGUAUAUUAAAGUUGCUGCAAUUAAAAACCUCAUAGUUGCACCUUGGGAGGGGAUGGGUGGUCUGCUGCAAGGUGAGCCACCACCCGUCCCUGCCCCUUGCCUCUCGUUGCCCCCUUGAUGCUCUUAGCUGAGUGUCCUGUGGGGCCCAAAGUGUUUGCUUUGAAAAAAUUAGUGUUCGAAGCAGGUCUGAGCCUCCUGGAUACUGCAGCUAGGAAUAAUGGAAUAGGACUGUGGUUUUUGUAACUGAGGCCAUGAUUAAGAGGGAUGGCUGGGGUCAUUCGUAUUGUGCUGCUAGAGGUGAAAUUCUUGGACUGGCACAAGACGGAGCAGAGCUAAAGCAUUUGCCAAGAAGGUUUUCAUUAAUUAAGAAUGAAAGUCAGUGGUUUGAAUAUGAUCUUGUACCGUCGUAGUUCCGACCAUGAACGAUGCCAACUGGUGAUGUGGUGGCGUUAUUCCCAUGACCUGCCGGGCAGCUUCUGGAAAACAAAAGUCUUUGAGUUCCAGGGAGAGUAUGGUUGCAAAGCUGAAACUUAAAGGAAUUUGAUGGAAGGGCACCACCAGGAGUGGAGCCUGCAGCUUAAUAUGACUCAACAUGGGAAACCUCACCUGGCCCUGACAUGGACAGGGUUGACAGAUGGAUAGCUCUUUCUCAAUUCCAUGGGUGGUGGUGCAUGGCUAUUGUUAGUUGGUGGAGUGAUUUGUCUGGUUAAUCCCGAUAAUGAAUGAGACUCUGGCAUGCUAACUAGUUACGUGACCCCUGAGUGGUCAGCAUCCACAACUUCUUAGAGGGACAAAUGGUGUUCUGCCAUCCGUGAUUGAGCAAUAAAAGGUUUGUGAUGCCUUUAGAAGUCUGGGGCUGCACGCACAGUACACUGACUGGCUGGUGCGGGUAACCUGUUAUACCCCAUUUGUGAUGGGGAAUAAGGAAUCCGAUUAUUCCCCAUGAACAAGGAAUUCCCAGUAAGUGCGGGUCAUAAGCUUGUGUUAAGUCUCUGCCAUUUAUACACACCACCUUUCACUACUAUUGAUUGUAUGGUUUAGUGAGGCCCUUGGAUUGGCCCCGGUGGAGUGCUGAGAAGACAGUCGAACUUGACUGUCUAGACGAAGUAAAAGUCAUAACAGUGUUUCUGUAGGUGAACCUGUGGAAG
rnacentral:rRNA from 1 species